CGUUUUUCGUCUGCAUUUCUGCGUAAACAGAUAUUCAACUAAUAUAUGUAGCAUCUUCUAUUUCAUUUUGUAUAAUAUCUAAGACCGCUUAAAUUUGCCAAGGCGUAUCAAUUGAGCAAGGAAACGCUUGAGGACACACUUUGAACACCUUCCCUUUCACUGAUCAUCCAGGGCGUCGCCGUUCGUUUGUCCAUGAUGAAGCGAUCACUUUGCCAGCUCAGUACAGCCAUCCUGCUAGCAGCUUGUCUUCUUCUUCGGUUGGGACAAUGCCAACCUGUUGCAGAACAGAGCUCACGUCAGCUUUCUCGCUCUUCGGCUCUUGAUAAUUACCUCAUGCUUCGUGCCCUACUCUCACCCGAUAAGACGUUACCGGAGUAUCUCUAUGGUGAUAAUUAUAACGACAUGGAAAGGAGCCGUCGAUCUGGGUUUUUGUUGGAAUCGUUUAAACCUGUCUCAAUGGAUGUACUAAGGAGGGUUCUGCAGAGCAAACACGAGGCGGCAUUGGCUCAAGCCAGGAAUAACAUAAUUGACAGAAAUAAUGAAAUAAUGACCAUGCAAGGUAGGAGAUGAUAGAUUUAAUUGUAGCUUACGGAGUUUUAUUUUGUAAGAAGACGUGCCCACAAAUCACUAUUUCACAAAUCAGCAGUGACAAACAAACCAUGCUGUAUAUUCUUGUUCCAAAUAUUUGAUUUAAUUCAGAUUAUAAAUAUUAGUUUUUGAAGAUGUUGUACAAGAAUCUACUUUGAUUUUUGACUGUCUUAUCUUUUAUAUACGAACUUAAAUGUAGAAGCAACUCAUGGAAAAGUAUAUCAAAAAGAGAAAGAUGUGGGAUUUGAGGGCAUUUUCUUGAACAAUUUUCAUUGAGAACAUGAAAGUGUAGAUAACAUAUAGCGCUACGAUAUAGUAAGAGGUCUCUUAUAGCUUCAAAGGUUUUCUCACAAUAAUACUUUCAAGAUGGUCUGCAGUGUUGACUAACAUCAGGUAUUUGGUGGAAUCGUGUAAUUCUUGGGCUCGCUGUACAGAAAAAAGCUAGCUCUCUUAAAGUCAAAAUGAAGAAAUAUUAGAAUAAACAUUAACAUUGCUGUAGCAUGGUGGCUUAAUAAACGUUUUGAGUAUUCCUGUGGUUCAUCCUCUCACCAACAAGAGGCCCCUUCACUUAGCUAUCUAUUUAAAGAAGAAAGACUACCAAUGAUUGAGACAAAGCAGAGAAAGACUAUUCUGCUACUAGCUAGGGACCGGGUCAACAGCCGGUAAUGUAAAUCCAUGGGGAUUGGAGUCAAUCUCGCCCCCAUCCCCAGCAACUCUCGCGAGAUUCUUUCGAUGGGUAGCGAGAGCUCUUCACACGUACCUUGCUGUCCAUACAACCUGCAUAUUGCUUGCAGUAUGUAUGCCAGGCCAUAACUGCAUGGUCGGGAUUGAAAUCACAAGAAAUGCACACAACUUUAAAGCAGGUGUUAUUGUACAAAAUCAGGACAAUGAUUUAAGAAAACACCGAUCAUUUGUGAUUCGUUUCCCAUGUCCAAUUCUAUUUUUCAUAAACUGGGAGCAGGACUGCAGAGUGAUAUAUAUAUAUAUAUAUAUAUAUUAUGUUGCUGCUGGUAGAUUAUAUAAGAGGGUAUAUUUGUUAAGGUCACGAAAAAAAUGUAAGUCGUAACGUUAAUCACUGUGUUCAUAAUAUUUUGUCAUUUACCAAUUUACUACAUUUUCUUGCAUCGAUUCUGUGCAUCUUAUCAUGUUUGAUUAUUUUGAUUCAGAAAGAAGUGCAAAGAAAACAUGUUGUGCAUUGACGAGUCCAUUUCUGUAUUUCGGUCCAAAUUUCUUAAAUGUGGUGAAAGUUUAUACAUUUAGUCGUACUUUGCAACACAGUAGAAAUGGGGAGAAAGAUAAAUUAAAAUGUCUUGACAUAAGCAAAUGUGUAUCGGAUUCGUUUAGUAUGGUUCAAUUUCAUAUUAAACCAAACAUUCAGCAACCGUGGCGAAAAUAAAAGAUUAAGAGAAAUCUUUCAAAUUGUAAAGGAUCUUUUGAAGCGUGUUGUGCUUCAUCGAUUUAUUGUAGUAUUUCGUGCUAAUAAGUAGGUUGUUUAUAAGUUAAGGGUUACAUUUCUUUCCUUUUUUAUCUAUGCGGUCCAUACGUACGGCCAUCGACUUCGAAAAUGUACAAUCGUCGUUAACCCAAGUAGUCAGAUUUAUUCAUUUUAUCAGACCAGUGUUUCAAGGGGAUUUAGUAAAGAAAUAUUAAACUUAACAUGUCAUUUCUCAUUCAAAUUCUAGUCCAUGCCAUAAUUACAGUAAUUAGAAAGUUCUUACAUUACCAAUUUGUGUAGAAUACACUCUCUAUUAUAUGAUGUUUGUUUUAAAGUUCAUAAUCAAAUUUGCUACAAAGGCCUAGACGAAACAUGUUUGCUAAAAUAAAUGCUCUUUCUAUGUAUAAUGUAUUCCAAGGUAUGUCACAGUAUUUUCCCUCUAACGGUCGGUGUUCAUAAUGAAGUACGAUCGAAAUGUAUUUCCUCCAUUGUUCCCAAACAUGCGUACAAUUAGGUUCUCUAUCAAUUAAUACACUACCUAAAUGCAUUUCAUAGGGCGAGAAUGUUCGAGUUCCUUUGCUCCCGUUUUCAAGCUUUUAAUAUUAUAUCAAAGAGGUAAAAUAAUGUCAUAUUCUGUAAUGGUGAUGA
rnacentral:lncRNA from 1 species